UGCCAGAACACAUAAAGGCAGCCCAGG
rnacentral:piRNA from 1 species